rnacentral:rRNA from 1 species
GAUGAACGCUGGCGGCGUGCCUAAUACAUGCAAGUCGAGCGAACAGACGAGGAGCUUGCUCCUCUGACGUUAGCGGCGGACGGGUGAGUAACACGUGGAUAACCUACCUAUAAGACUGGGAUAACUUCGGGAAACCGGAGCUAAUACCGGAUAAUAUAUUGAACCGCAUGGUUCAAUAGUGAAAGACGGUUUUGCUGUCACUUAUAGAUGGAUCCGCGCCGCAUUAGCUAGUUGGUAAGGUAACGGCUUACCAAGGCAACGAUGCGUAGCCGACCUGGGAGGGUGAUCGGCCACACUGGAACUGAGACACGGUCCAGACUCCUACGGGAGGCAGCAGUAGGGAAUCUUCCGCAAUGGCGAAAGCUUGACGGAGCAACGCCGCGUGAGUGAUGAAGGUCUUCGGAUCGUAAAACUCUGUUAUUAGGGAAGAACAAAUGUGUAAGUAACUAUGCACGUCUUGACGGUACCUAAUCAGAAAGCCACGGCUAACUACGUG